rnacentral:snRNA from 1 species
AUCGCUUCUCAGCCUUGUGGCUAAGAUCAAAUGUAGUAUCUGUUCUUAUCAAUUUAAUAUUAUGUCCCUGCCUUUGGCUUCUAAAUUUUCUGCUAAAAAAUCUGCUGUGAGCCCUA